UACGUAGGGUGCAAGCGUUAAUCGGAAUUACUGGGCGUAAAGCGCACGUAGGCGGCUUUGUAAGUUAGAGGUGAAAGCCCGGGGCUCAACUCCGGAAUUGCCUUUAAAACUGCAUCGCUAGAAUUGUGGAGAGGUGAGUGGAAUUCCGAGUGUAGAGGUGAAAUUCGUAGAUAUUCGGAAGAACACCAGUGGCGAAGGCGACUCACUGGACACAUAUUGACGCUGAGGCGCGAAAGCUAGGGUAGCAAACGGG
rnacentral:rRNA from 1 species